rnacentral:pre_miRNA from 1 species
CUAAUACUCCCUCCGUCCGGAAAUACUUGUCGGAGGAAUGGAUGUAUCUAGACGUAUUUUAGUUUUAGAUACAUCCGUUUUUAUGCAUUUCUUCGACAAGUAUUUCCGGACGGAGGGAGUAAGUU